rnacentral:rRNA from 1 species
UACGGGGGGGGGCAAGCGUUGUUCGGAAUUACUGGGCGUAAAGGGCGCGUAGGCGGCCUUCUAAGUCAGACGUGAAAUCCCUCGGCUCAACCGAGGAACUGCGUCUGAUACUAGAUGGCUCGAGUGCAGGAGAGGAACGCGGAAUUCCAGGUGUAGCGGUGAAAUGCGUAGAUAUCGGGAGGAAUACCAGUGGCGAAGGCG